AUUGAACGCUGGCGGCAUGCUUUACACAUGCAAGUCGAACGGUAACAGGCCGCAAGGUGCUGACGAGUGGCGAACGGGUGAGUAAUGCAUCGGAACGUGCCCAGUCGUGGGGGAUAACGCAGCGAAAGCUGCGCUAAUACCGCAUACGAUCUCUGGAUGAAAGCGGGGGACCGAAAGGCCUCGCGCGAUUGGAGCGGCCGAUGUCAGAUUAGGUAGUUGGUGGGGUAAAGGCCCACCAAGCCAACGAUCUGUAGCUGGUCUGAGGGGACGACCAGCCACACUGGGACUGAGACACGGCCCAGACUCCUACGGGAGGCAGCAGUGGGGAAUUUUGGACAAUGGGCGCAAGCCUGAUCCAGCAAUGCCGCGUGCAGGAAGAAGGCCUUCGGGUUGUAAACUGCUUUUGUACGGAACGAAACGGCUCUGGUUAAUACCUGGGGCUAAUGACGGUACCGUAAGAAUAAGCACCGGCUAACUACGUGCCAGCCGCCGCCGUAAAAC
rnacentral:rRNA from 1 species